UACGGAGGGUGCAAGCAUUAAUCGGAUUUAUUGGGCGUAAAGGGCGUGUAGGUGGGAAGGGUAGUCAAAUGUGAAAUCCCGGAGCUCAACUCCGGAACUGCAUCUGAAACUCCCUUUCUUGAGGGUAGGCGGAGAAAAUAGAAUUCCACAAGUAGCGGUGAAAUGCGUAGAUAUGUGGAAGAAUACCUGUGGCGAAAGCGAUUUCUAGCUUAUUCCUGACACUGAGGCGCGAAAGCAAGGGGAUCAAACAGG
rnacentral:rRNA from 1 species